AGAAUAUUAGUCAAUGCUCGAAAGAGUGAACUAGCUAACUGAAAUCAAUUAUAAAAUUGAUAACAUAAGGGAAAAUAAUGAUAUUACCUUAUUAUUAGUGUCGUCCAAAACUGGUGCCAGAAGACUCGGUAAGGCCAGAGACAUAAACGUUAAUCGUCUUAAUCAGGCGUAAAGGGUUUGUAGGCGGCUUUUAAUUUUACUUAUUUAAUUUUGUUUUUUUUUUUAAUUAAAAAUUAUAAGUACAGAAUAAAAGCUAGAAUCAAAUAGAGGAUAUAUCAAAUAAUGCUUAGAGUAGGUCUGAUAUCCUUAGAUACUAAGUAGAAUAUUAAAGGCGAAGGCUUUUUUCCAUUAAUGAUUGACGCUCAGAAACGAAGGUGAGGAUAGGAAAUAGGAUUAGAUACCCAAAAUACCCCUCUCUGUCAACGAUGAAUGGUAGUUAUUAGUAAUAAAUUAAUUAAUGACAAUGUUAACACGAUAACCAUUCCGCCUUGUGAGUACAACUGCAAAGUUGAAAACAAAAAAAUUAGUCGGUUUCGGAGCAAACGAAGUGAAGCAUGUUAUUUAAUUCGAUAAUCCGCAGGGAGG
rnacentral:rRNA from 1 species